GUAGGGGGCAAGCGUUAUCCGGAUUUACUGGGUGUAAAGGGAGCGUAGACGGAUGGACAAGUCUGAUGUGAAAGGCUGGGGCUCAACCCCGGGACUGCAUUGGAGACUGCCCGUCUUGAGUGCCGGAGAGGUAAGCGGAAUUCCUAGUGUAGCGGUGAAAUGCGUAGAUAUUAGGAGGAACACCAGUGGCGAAGGCGGCUUACUGGACGGUAACUGACGUUGAGGCUCGAAAGCGUGGGGAGCAAACAGGAUUAGAUACCCUGGUAGUCCACGCGGUAAACGAUGAAUGCUAGGUGUCGGGGAGCAAAGCUCUUCGGUGCCGCCGCAAACGCAUUAAGCAUUCCACCUGGGGAGUACGUUCGCAAGAAUGAAACUCAA
rnacentral:rRNA from 1 species